UUGAUUCAUUUGUUUAUGAUUCCACUCAGACAUGCUAGGUAAGAAAAUACAAGAGUUUAGGUCCCCCGGCGGGCGCCUGGUUCCGGCGGCUUUUUAGGGCCUUCCGGGGCGUUAACCCGCCGAAGCAACAGUAAAGGUAUAAGUUCACAGGGGUUUGGGAGUUGUAAGACUCGGUAAUGAUCCCUCCGCUGGUUCACCAACGGAGA
rnacentral:misc_RNA from 1 species